GAAAAUUAGAGGAAGCACAACACACAGCCGAGACACACACAUACAGAGCCGAGAGGGCUGAGAAUUUAAUUCAAGCUUGAUGCUUCAUUGAUGAUUUAAUUUACAGUUUUCAGGUACCAAGGAUGAACUUGGAUUGCUAGUAGCGGGCUUAGGUGGAAGAGUUGGAGUUGAGGAAUUAAAUUAUUUUAUUUAGAAAUUUUUAUGUAUUUAUUUGAGGAAAUUGAUUUAGUAUCAAUUUAAUUAAUUUGAGAUGUUGUCUUAUUUAUUUGAGGAAAUUUGAUUGAUUUUGCAUCAAUAAAGGGUAUUUUAUUUCUUUUGA